AUUAUGAGGUUGAUUAAUUUAUUAGCCAUUUUAUAUGGUUACGCUAAAUCUAUUCAUGGUUAUGUUAUUGUUUUGGAUACAUUAACCUUUGUUGAUUGAAGGAAAAGUUAAAUUAUUUCAUUUAUUAAGAUAUCAAUGAUUUAUUAAUUUCCUUGGUUAACUUGAACCUCGCGCUUUACCCUUUUUCCCCUUUUGUGUUACCCUAUUUCCUAUGACACAGCAUGAGAUUGCAUUUUUAUUUUACCAUAAAUUGUCUCAUUGUUUAAUUAUUUUUAUUAAAUUUUCAUUUGUGAUUUAUUUAAAUUUAGUUUUUUUGAUUUGAAAGCUUAAUCAGUUUUUUUUGCUUGAGAAAACACAAUUGGUAUUUACAUUCAGCUGAAUUUGUGAUAUUAAAUAUGAACUUAUUUCAUGGCCUGUCUCGACAUUUAUUGGUUGUCAUUGAUUCAAAAAUGGGCUUGUUGAACAAUUGGAUAUCAGUGGUCGAACUCGAGUGUAACGUUACAGCUUAUAAUGGUUAUGGCAAAAAGCUAUUUUUCUGGUUCUUCAACUCUCUUUUGCUUGUUUAUCAUCUGUAACUGAUCAGAAGGCAUUGAGAUGAUGACAAAUUGGGCGAAACCAUAUUUUACAGCCUUCAUGAAAUAGCAAUUUGAACAGUCCAUUUUCCUCACAAUUUCCAUAUGGUUCAGUAAACACGUAUUUUCAUCACGUGUCCAGCUGUUUUUGCAUAUGUAAGGCACGACAAAAGGUUACAGUCACGAACUUCCGUUUUCAGUUGGCCUUAAAUCAAUCAAUUUGAAUCACAAACAUCAUCAAAUGAAAAAAUUUGCAACAUUUUACAAUCGAGUCAAAUGGAUGGUAAACAGAGUACAAGCUUAAGUAGAUGGCAAUGAUAUCAAUAUUGGAGGGAAAAAAGCCUAUUGGAAUCAAUUCAAAUUGAGAUCAAGAUGUAAUGAUAAUUUAUGACUACAUUAUCUUGAAAUUUUCAGGUUUUGGGAAGCCCAGCAUUUUGAAGAAAGUCAAAACUUCACGCUAUUCUCGAUCAACUUUUGUUUUUCACUCAAAAAUUCACGAUUGUGGUUUAUAUUAGCAUUUGAAAGGAGCACCAUUAUCAAGUUUAUCAUCAAAGUGGAAAAGAUUUGAAAAGAAAUUAAAAGAUGUUGCUGAUGAUGAUGGAGAAGUAAAAAGAUGAGCCAUUCUUAAAGACAAUUGGAUAACAAGUUGAAAGAUGAUGAAAAUAAGAUUUACUUCCGCGCUAUUUGGAUUCACUCUUGUUGAUCAAGUAAAUCAAAAGUUGGAUACAAUAAUAUUUAAACAACAAUUGAACUACAAUCAUUAUGUACGGCCAUAUACAUUGAAACAAUUGAAUCAUUAGCAUAGACACAAUUAAGUCUGCUAACCAGCAAUUAGUUACAAACCAAAUUGCUCUAAUUGUUUCCUAUUAACACUUUAUGACUUUCUAUUAUUACAAACCAGAUUAUGGCAAUGUUAUUUGACCAGUUUCCAUAGUGAUUGCUGUUAUUGAUGACAAUUGCAACAAAAAUGAUGAACCAAGAGAAGGAUCAAAGUUGCAUUACCAUACAAAGAAAUGAUGGAUUGAACAAAAGAUUUAUAUUUCCUAGUCUGUCAAGUCUAACCAGCAAAUUUGGCCCAAAUUUCAACCGCUAACGAAAACAACAUUCAACCGAGAUGAUAAUUUUGUUUAAUGUUACCUUAAGUGGUGGCGAAAAUUAUGAUAAUCAAAGGCAAAAGGUUGAUUAUCAUACAAUGACAAGAGUCGCUAAUUUCAUUAUAAAAUACCUUAUUAAGAGUUUGGUGUAAUGUUGAGGCUACUACUCACUGCAAGAAGCUGGUUGCCAGUAUAAAGAUGUAAAGAUAUUUAAAGCUCUCAACAUUAAAGUAACCUCAACAAAAGAUAGAGCCUGAUGUUAAUUAUGAUCACGAUGCUAUUUAAACUUAACUAGCUUAACCAAGAAUAACUGUUUGUUUCACUGGAACUUCCGCAGAGAAUCCUGAUUCUUUCUCACAUAAAUCAUCAUCAACUUCAUUUUCAACAUGAUCAUCAACAAGAGCAACAACAAUAUCAACAAUGAUCAACAGCAAAAGGUCAGGUCAAUGUAUAUAUUAGAAUUGACUAAUGAUAAUAAUCAAGACCAAUAUACAUAAAUGAUGGAUUGACUUUGAAACAGAUUUACUCAACACUUUUCUCAUGUAAAAUAGACUUGAAUUGUGUGUGUUUAAAUUGUAAAAGGGUGACUUUAAAGUGACUCUUGAAAUAAAUAUCAUUACGACAAUGAUAUUUGCUUCACAACGGAAAGUUGAAAAACAAUCAAACUAUCCUUGAGAUGAAGUCGAUCCUGAAUUGAUAUUGGGAAAAAUUGUCUGACGAACAAGUUUCAAGAUGAAGUUUCAAUUUUUUUUCUUUAUUGGAAAAGAAACUGAUUUCAAUUCAAUUCAUCCAGAACUUACAUCAUUAUUUAGAUUUACACUUUGGUUUGCUUUUCUCCAGCCUUUCCAUUGCUUACACAUUGAGAAACUUGUAGCUGGAAAAGUUGCUCACAUUUUUUCCUGUUUCAUGGUUAUAUUGCGGCUUUUGUUUGUUUACCAACCCAAGCAACGAUUUGAAAUUCAAUAUCCUGACAAAGGUAAUACAAAUGAAUUGUUGAAUGGUUCAAGAAAACGUUCAAUUUAUUAACUUGAAGUAUCUCAAUUUAUCUUAAUUGUUAUCACCUCUUUCACUGUAAUCACCUUCAAGGUUGUGACAAGUUAACACUUACUGUUAAUUGAGAUUGAAAUUCAAUUGUGAAUAUUCAUGAUUAUGUGUAUUCAUGUUGCAACUUUUCCAGUUGAAGGAAAUAUCAGAUGAAAGUAAAAAUUGUUAUCAAUUUUCAGUUUUACUUUUCCGUCUGCAAAAGCGCUAAACUUGAUGUAAAUUUGGCCUUCUUUUGCACUUUGAUUUGCUCAGGAUAAUUCUUGGACAAGAAUCACCCAGAGAAACAACUUCUCCUAUUCUCAGAGUGAAAUUAUCAUGUUACACUCAAAUGUCAUUUGACGUCAACUUGUUUCAACAUUACAUGGAAGCCAGGAAAUUGGCUAUUCUUUGCUAUUCUCAAGUCCAGUGACAAGAUUAACAAAUGAUGGGUUCACCUGAUAAUUAACUGUAUUAAAGAUGAAAGCUGACCAAAUUAAAGAUCAUUUAGAGAUGGAAAACAAAAGGAGAAAAAUUUAAUCUAGUUUGUUAAUUUUGUCAGUUUGAGAUGAUAGGAGAAACAUUCAGAGUUUACAAUUAACUUGACAUAAUUACAUUGCUUGAUAAAGGGAAAGGUUAAAGGGUUUCUAAUCUGCUUAUUAAAGUCAAUUUAAACUGA